UUGACCUUCUGAGGGGCUGAUCAGAAAUCAACCUUCGAUUUUGGCCUUGUCUUUGCAGGAACUACAACACAUCAGCUUGGGGGAAUCUGCAACACCAAUAUUCAAUAAAUCCACACUUAGAACCGCAAAUGCCGAUGUGAAGGUCAACUUAUUGAUUGCUAUGUCUGUAAGACUGUCCAUAUGAAUUUACUGAUAUAACCUUUCAUUAUUAAGAAAUUAAAUAAUUCCACCAAACUAUGUUCUUCAAGAUCCCCAGAGAACUUUCGACUUUGUCAAGUCUUGAUUGUCUUUGGCAUUUUAUGAUUAUUUUUCAUAUGAAUUUCAAUGGAUUGAAAUUCAUGGAAUCUUUUUCGUGGGGUUGAGCUCUUUGUGUGACUUUUUGGGACAUCAAGAUUCAACCAUCAUCGUCAUUCUAUACAACUUCUUGCCGACGCCCAUCAACUGUUCACUCCAAGCUUCUAGAGUCUUGAUCUAGGCGUAGAGAGAUUAAACAGGCCUCGCACUUACUUUGACAGCAAUUGGACUGGCCUAGGAUUAAUGGGUGUCUUUCUCGUGGAACUUUACAACAUUAUGUAGUGGCAAUUCAUUAAGAGUUAUAGUGUCAAUUGAAGCAGAAUAACGUUGUUAUUGCUGUACCAUAGCAUUAUUUCUUAUUAAUAUUCUUUUUAUAGUGUAGCGAGAGAGGUGUGUGUUUCAUGUAAAAUCUGCUUAAAAAAAGAUAUAUAUUCUGCCAGUACAGCAAUAACUAUUUUACAUUUUAUUGGUCGAGAUUCAAGGAAAGAAUAUAUAAGGCAUCACAAUCUUUUUUUUAUUAUUUUACAAAACGAGAAUGAUGCGUCGAUGUUGAGAGUAAUUAAGACAAGCUCUAUGUUUUGCUUCAUGCCACUGAGCAUUCCGGAGGCGGUCCUUGUGGGAAUCGCUUGGUGUCAGUGCAAUAGUUAUAAAUCAUGUAGUUCUUUUGCACCCAUUUUAUUCUUCCUUGGCCUGUGCUACCCAGUGACUGUGAUAGCCAAGAGUUACUGGAGGAGCCAGAGGAGGAGCAAGAGGAGGAGCCAGAGGUCCAAGUGCAUGCUUGAGCAUUAAAGUUCCUGUAAGAAGCUGUAAACGGUGCUUGGCUCCAAUCGGUUUUGAUAAGACCUCCUCUUGUAGCCCAGUCAUCUGCAUUCCAGAGGCUUGAGUAUAUCCACAUUGGUUGGCUCUUUGGGUAUGGGAUGC